AAUUCUCAUUUGCUUACCCCAACUCUGCCUCUCAUUUUGAAGCCUUCUUAAGAUAUCACGUCGGCUCCAACCUUCUCAAUGCUGCUCGAAGACCCUGGUUCUCUGCGAGCUUUGAUAGGCAACCACUCACAAGGCCUCAAGAUGAGUCUGGCUUCUGGGUGCAGAAGAGUUUCCUGUCAGAGGGAUUCAUUUACUUUCUAGCUGACAAAGUUUCCCUCUCAGUCUUUGUUUUAUGCUGCAGUGUCUGUUCUAGUUAACAGAGAGUCCAGUUGUAUUCUUUUGACCACAUUCUCAUCUGGUGACUUGCUCUGGGUCCUGUUCCUUUCCUCUCUGCUUUGGCCCUGGAGAACACUUUGUCAUUCUUCACUUGCCUCCAAGCCAGGAGCCUUUCCAAUCAGCAUGAAAGCACUCUUAAAGGGCCAGCUUCAGACCAGGAUCCUCCUUCCUGUGCCUCCUGUGUGGCUGGAAUUAAAGCCACGAGACACCACACCUGGCUAUUCAACCCUCUUAAUGGGCAUAUUACUGGUGCAUUAUAUUCUAUGUUUCAUGUUUAAAAUGUUUCAUAAUUUAAAUUAAACAUUUUAACUGGACAACAGAAGUCUAAAGCAUUCUAAGUAGAUAUAAUGUUAAUUGAUUUUAUAUGUAUUGCCUUUUAAUUACUUCUGUUUCUUAAGUAUUUGGCAGUUUAAUUUCCUCAUCAAAUUAUAGACUUUUAAGGGAUGACAGUGUGAUUGCCGUUUCUUGCCUGCUCUCUUCAAUGACUGGAACUGCAUUAAGCAUCCAGUACAUACAACAAAUGAUGGUUAAUUGAUGACAUAAAAUGUGUUUGCUCAGCUGGAAGCUUUACCUGUGAAACAGAUUAGCUAUACAGCAUUUGUAAACAUGCCAUGUCCAAAAAGCAAAUUUGAUUCUUUUUAAUUUCUCCCUUUAUUCUGUCUUUGCUUUGCUCACUUUCCCUCAGCUACUUUCUUUCUGUUCCCCACAGUUUUCUUCAA